rnacentral:rRNA from 1 species
UAUUUUGACUAUACGAAGGUAUUGAAAUAAGAUUUUAAAUGAGUGCUAAGAGAAUGGUUGAACAAUUGGAAGCUUUCUUUAAUUAAGUAGUUAAAUUUAAUUUUUUUGUGAAGAAGCAAAAAUAAAGAUUAGGGACAAGAAGACCCUAUGAAUUUUAAUUUGGUCUUAUAUUUAUUAUUAAAGAAAAGAUUAAAUUUGGUUGGGGCGAUGGAUAAAGAAUGUGUAUCUUUUUUUUAUUAAGUUUUAAAAAUUAGUUCCGUUUUUAGCGAUUAUAUGAAAAAAAUACUCUAGGGAUAACAGCGUAAUAAUUUUGGAUAGUUCAUAUUGAUAAAAUAGUUUGCGACCUCGAUGUUGGAUUAGGAUUCUUUUUCGGUGAAGGAGUUGAAGAGAAGAAGUUUGUUCAACUUAUUAAUUCC